CUAAGGUUAAAAUUGUCUACUGAAGAAGAAGCAAGAAAAUGGUUGUCAGACUUCCAGGAAUCAAGCUUUACUACAUUUAGGAAAGCACAAACAUAUCCAAAUAUUGCUGAAAAGCAUGGAAAGAUUGAAUAUAAGGUUGAUCUAAGAUGCCAGCACAACACGAUUCCACGGUCAGAACCGCAGCUAAUCGAAGAGGUAACAAGAAUACCACCUGCAAAGCCAAGCUACAGGUGUCCAUUCUGAAAUUUAAAGAAGCCUCACUGAGUCAGAACAACAAAAAGAAUAGAAGGUCUGUGGAUCCACAUCCUCGUGAUGAACGUCUCAUUGUGACCCUUCAUCAUUGUCACAACCAUCCUAUCAUAGCCGCGGAUGCUUUUCGUUACAGAGAUGUGUCACAGGAGGUGAAAGAUAAACUACUUGAACUAUACAAGCAAUGU